GUUUGGUGUCAACGUCUGCCUGUUAAUCUCCUUGCAAGUCGGUAUUACAAAAUCUAAGUAAAAUUCUUGGGCGACAGAAUUUUAAUAAUGUAUAUAGGAUAUGAUAAAGCAGUGCAUUUUCCUUCUGUUGUUUAAGUCAGACUGAUUGUCUUUUGACUUUUACAAUGAAACAUUUCCAUUUCUGUAUGCCCUCAAAGACUUCUGUCAAGACCUCUGCAAUCUAUAACAUCCCUGAAAUGUGCUCAUAUGAAAGAAGUUUGCAUUUCAGUAGAGGCUGCACUGCUUCCAAGUGCAGAUGCAAUCUGACCUCCCUGCUGCUGCUUCACCUCCUGUAAUUAUACACUCAGGGUUCACCUUUUUGACCCUACCAUUGCAAUUGCUUCUACCAUCAGCAAUUCCUUCAAAGGUUGCAUCUAAGCUUACCUGCAAGAGAACACCAGGAGACACCCUGGAUCCUGCUCCUUGGAUAACAAGAUCAUGUGCUUAGAUUUCACCUACACAGAGACAGGCAUGUGGGAAACUGCUGGUACAUAUCCAGACAGUACACUAAUGGGAAUCCAGGAUGUGAUAUCUGCAUCUGGGAAUUCAGAAACAUUCCUGGACUUUACGAUUCAGGUAUAGUCAAAAUAAUUUCUUCCUGAGGUUACCUCCUACACUGUUUGAGUCUGAGUGUAUUUCCUGAACUGCUUACUGCUUCUUAAACAAAAUCUGGAUCUGCAUUAUUCGUGUUCAUGUCAUGUGUAACCUUUUAUCAACAGUGAGUAUGUGUUUUAGUUCAGAUUGUUUAUAAGAUCUCUUAACUAUAAAUUUAUAACUAAGAACAUAUAUAUAUUUAGUAGGAUUUAAGUGGCAAGUCUCAAAAUGUAACAGAACCUGGUUUUAAUCCUUUCUUUGAUGUGGCAUGUCCAUUUUAUAUUUCCAUAAUUUAGUCAGAAUGUCCUCUAUUACCAUUCUUGAUGCUGGCACAAACCUCAGAACAAGUGCAUUUCUUAACUAAACUUAAAAUCUUUCAGACAAAAAUAAAAUUAAAAAAAAUGUUUGUCAAGAGUUGCUUUUCGAAACCCUUAUUGAUUGGCACAAUUAAUUGCCUUCUAUAUCUUUAAUUUGAUUACAAAUCAGGUUGAAGAUUAUUUUCCCUGCUUAAACCAGUCUGACAGCCCUAUAAUUAUUUCAGUUAUGUUAUUUAAAUGGUGGCCAACUUUUUUCUCUGCAGGAUUUUUGGAUGUUUCACAGUGUCCUUAUGCGUACGGGAGAUGAAGAGUAAUUGUAGCUCCUUUCUACAACAUUUAAAAGUCAUUUUAGAAAAGCUUUCAGACCUGUUGAUCCUGCACAGGUUUUUUUUUAACUACUAUUCUACAUUUUCUUACUGAUGACUGAAACAAAAAUCACCACUCAAAUACCUUCAAGGUUUUCCCAAGGGCACAUUUACUGAAAUCCUUCUGCUCUUCCUAGGUCUUACCAUUAUUAAAGAGAAUUCUGCCUGGUCUAAUAGUGACCGUAAUGAACAAACAAUGAACCAAACCAUUAGGAUUCUUUAGUUUCUAUAAAGCCCUCUUCAUUAUCUGGUUCUUAUCUCUGUUGGCUGUAGAUUUUUUCCAGAAGUUAUUUUGUCAUUUCCAAUAAACCCAGUUUUCUCAUUUAUAUUUGUUUCUAGUAGUUUUCUUUUUCUUCCAUUUUGUUGAAUUUUAAAGCCAACAGUAAUCCUCUUUAAAUUAGAUUGUUUUAUUAUUUUUAGUUGCCCUCCGUCUGCUGACUAUUUAAUAAAAUAUCCUUAAUCAGUUCCAGUGAUUAUUCAUGCAUUUCUGAUUACAUUCUAUCUCUUCUUAUGAUGUUGCUCAUAUCUGUUUUAAGAUUAGUUAAUUUUUUUUAUCUAGAGCAGCAAAAAUAUGUAUUGUUGAUAAGGACUUCUUCUGUACUUGUGAUUGUUGCAGGAACACUGUACUGGGGACGCUAUUGCUCCUCAGUUUUGUAAUCAGCUGUUGUCUAAGUUAGGGCAUCUAAAAUAGUAUUCCAUGACAUGUUUAAGAAAUGAUUGAAAUAGUCUGUGGUGCCAGUACAGCAUGUGACAUCAUAACAUGCUGUGUGCCCCUGGAAUCUUAGUCAGAACAAAGUCAGCAUUCAUAUUCUCAAAGCUAACAUGGCUCUGCGUGACAUCAUGCUCUAUCAUUUGGAUAGAGGAUGGGACAUCCAAGAGUAAAAACAUGCCACCCAUGUAGCUUCAUUUACAAUAUAAAAAUGUAUAUUUUAACUGAAAAAAUGUGAAAAUAUCUCUCAGAUAAGGAAAUCACAACUCUUACUGUUAGACAGUGAAGUAGUAAAGUAAAAUGUGUGUAGCACUUUUCAAAAGGAGAUAUUUGCCAGGGGUUAAGUAUGUAGCAUGCCUACUGACAAUGAGUUAUAUCUCACCCUGCAAUCUCACUGAUUUCAAAUGAACAACCUGUGGAGUAAUAGGUUACUGAACAUCAUGCAAAGCAGUAGAACAGAGCUGGACAGCAAAUCCAUGUAGUACAGUAGAAAUCAGUCUGGAUUCAUUCCACAGAACAUGGGAUGCCAGUAGUGACCCCUCUGACCAAAUUAACCUCCUUGCACUCAGGCCAUCGAGGGUAUGGAGGUAUUCAAAGACAAGUCUCCAGGUUUCAUAACAGAUAUUGUCUUUAAAAGCUUUCCCUUCUAAAAAAAAAAAAAAAAAAAAAAAAAAAUUAUGAAAAUCAUCGUCACUUAAAUUGGCCUUUCCAAACUGUCCAAAAAAAAUCUGAAUUAAUGUAAUUAUUCCUAGUUUUCAGUGCCUAUGAAUAAAAAGGAAUACUAACUUUGAACUGUUUUCCAAAAAUAAUCACUUAAUGUUUAAUGGUAGUGAAUUGUAACAUCCCUGUGUGGGGGAAAAUCUGUAGCAUUUGAAUGAGCUUUCUGAAUUAACUCUGCUUAGUACUGCUAUAUGGAUUGGAGAUUCUUUUACGCUUGUAUGCAAACAAAAGUCUUUAACAUAAAUGGAUUCCUUUUGAUCUGUAUACAUACGCAUAUACACAUAUAUCUCUGGAAUUAUUACAAUGCUUCAUAAUUUACGCUUCAAAAGUUCAAACUGAAUGGUAAUGUACUGAUGCAAGGCUAAUGUGAAGGGAUUAAUACCUUUCCUGAUUUUUGACAGGGAAAAGGAAAAUCUAUGUCCACAAUAAGCUAAGCCAUAUAUUUUAAUGAAAAUGACAUAUGCAUAAUGAUUUUAUAAAAAUGAGGCUGCCAUUUUUUUUUUUCUGACAAAGUUCCCCAUGUAAUGCAUUAAAUUAAACUCUUGUAGAUUAGUGUGUACGGUAUUGGUUCACAACAGUUUGUGACUGUUUACUUCUAAUGAAAUAAAUUAUGAAACAUAGAACUGGCUGUGAAUGUUGUGUCUGUUAUCUGUUUGGGCUUGAUAAUGAAAAACUCUGGGGUUUUCACACCUGGAUUCUCUUGGGCCAAUUAAACUGUGUUGGCAGUUAACUUGUCUGCUGUGAGCUACUAGUCGUUGAACUGGGUCAGGAAAGGAAAAAGAAAGCCUGUCAAUAUGACUGCAGAAACUCAGGUGCCCAGUGGAAAACCUGUCUGUAAGGAAAACAGAAUUACACAAAAUGCACAUUGUCAUUUUUGCAUCCCUUUGAGGCUUUAUGGAAUACAUGGAGCACUGAGAGAGAUUACCAAAACCUGUAGAGUUGAAAUAAGGGUUUAAAACUGAAAGAGCCAAUUUAAAGUGUGCAUAAGGAAGAAAUUUUUCACUGUGUAUGUAAUAGAACACUAGAACAGGUUGCCCAGAGAAACUGUGAAUGGUCUAUCUCUGGAAGUGUUCAAAGUCAGGUUCGAUGGGGAUUUGAACAACUUGAUCUUGUGAACGAUGUCCUUUCCCUUGGGAGUAGGAGUGGAUGUCCUUGUCUCCUGGCUUUGCAUUAACAAAUUCCUUUCCUACUUCUGACACCAGGAAUUCAAAACACAGACAGAUCAUCAGGAAAAUAUGUCGAUUUACCUCUGCACAGGAAGUUGGUCCUUCCUUGACAAAGGGACCCCUAUUCCUGUUGAAGUGAGGUGUGCACUCAGUUCAAAAAUCUCUCAUAUGAAGAAAGGACUAACAUAAACUAACUGCUGUUGGGAUGCCAUGCUCUUACUCAGUCUCCAUGUGACUAAGUGGGUAGCUUAAAUCUAUGGCCUAACUGAUCUUACACAGAUCAAAAGUGGCUUUCUUAAUGCUCUUUCUCCUCUCAGCGCAGGAGUAAUAGUAACUUUCCUAUCUGGUCACUGUCCAAAAUGAUUUCAUUUCUGGUUAUACAGUUUCUUUCUUAAACAUUGCAAUUGAAGACCAAAGAGAUAUCAUGUCUUUUGCUAUCUCAAAAAAAAAAAAAAAAAAAAAAAAAAAUCUUUUAGUUUUAGAGCUAUUUUGACAUUUGAAAUGUUUUGUUGAAACAUUUAUCAAUACAUUUAAAAAAAUCUUUUAACAAACAUCUUGUCAUUAUGGAUUAAAAGUAGAUGUUAAGGAAUAGAAAGAAAUAACUAUGUAGACCCAGAAAAUUUGUAGAGAUUUUCAUCUUGUUAAUAGUGAUUCAGAAGAUGUCUUUAAGCCUUUUCUAAAUCUAAAUUUUAAAUGCAUUUAAAUCUCUCCUAUGUAAUCCUUUCCAUAAUACGUACAGUAAGUUUUAAAACUGAUAAUCCAAAGAGUUUUGGAAGCCUAAUAUAAAUUGCUCAAAGGACAGAGUGACAACAUUAACCACAUAAAUCACGCAAGGACUAAAUGGAAUCUUUUUAUUCAGAAGAGACUUCCUUGUAUAUUAUCCUAAACUGUACUAACAAGCAGUAUCUUUAUCUGACAUAAUUUAUGGUGUUAUGAUCUUUUCCAGGUCCUAUAUCCACAAUUCACUGCCUCCUUUGCAUUUCUUUUAAUUUAUCAUUUCACUUUCCAGGUUGGCAUCCUGUCUAUCCAGUACUGGGUUCUGUGUAAACAAUUACCUUGCAGGUGAUAUCUUUGCCUACAGAUGAAGUUACUGCCCUACAAUGAAUGUGUCAUCAUCAGGCCCCAAAGUUCAACAGCUGCAUUUGAAGUCUGACUGUGCACAUCUGAAAGACAUCAGAAAAGACAGCUGCUCCUACAUUUAGGGUCAAGUCUUCAUCUUGCUAUUGAGCCAAUGGAUUUAUCCAUAUUAAUAAACUUAAUAGGGUCAAGGAAAGCAUGGUUUGAAUCUGACUGAUGCCUAUAACUUACCGUUUGUUUAUCAGUGUGGUCACUGUCAGGCUUUUGACUUAUGCCAGCUGGCAUUUCCUAAGUCACUGCCAGACCAGUGUCCCCAGCAGGCAAAGUGGGAGUGCACCCUUUCCUGGAGGGUGGGAGAAAGCAUUGUUUCCCAUGCCACUUUUGCCUCAGGGCUUGUUCCUCUACCUAAUAGUGUAGAUGUAGUUUUCAUUCUGAAAAGUGUUGUAUUUCCACACACCUCUCCCUCCUACACUAUCCAGCAGAGAUGAUAGUAGAAGCAGCAGCAGCAAUUUUCUGCUAGGAUGAGCAGGAGGGAAAAUAAUUUACUACCUUGGCUACUAACCCUAUCUAGAGAAGAGAUGUAGAGGUGUAGGAGUCCUCCUUGAGGCCUCCUCCUGAGGUAGAGCACAAGGUGCUGAAGCUCUUGUGAGAGCAAUUAUAGCAAAUAGCAUCUUCCUGCUAUAUGUGUGGGGUUGUUUUUUUGUUUGUUUGUUUGUUUUGUGUGUGUGGUUUUGUUGUUUUUCUUUAUAUGAGUAGUUUUACCCCAGUUAACUCAUUUGUUCGAUGUGAAAAUAUGAUAGUCAAGUACUUAGGUAUAAACUGGGAAGUUUUUUGUUUUGUUUUGUUUUGUUUUCUAAUUACUGUGCACUUACUAUACCCGUGUGACUUUUCUUAAUUGCACAUUUUAAUUAAAUGUUACUUUAAAAGGUAUUUAACAAAAAAUCCAUACAAGCCUUCUCCUGGGAGUAGUGACUUUUAUUACCUUAAGCAUGUCAUGGAGGCAAUUUAUGAGGAAAGUCAAUGUUUGUUUUCUUUUUUUUGUUUUUUAUUCCCUUUGUGAUCCUAGUUUUGAUAAUCAUUAUUAAAGUACUGUUCAACUUAAUGACUUUGCAGUUAAAAAUAAUACAGUGCAGAGAAAAAAGAGAUUAAUUGGAACCACAAUACAAAUAAAAAUUUUAUUACCAAGUUUGGUGUUUUUCUGAAAGCUAUGUCUAUACUAUAUAAAAAGGGUCAGAGACUAUUUUCUGUCACUGGGAACAAAUGAUACAGCACAACCCACAGUUGUGCAACUAAACUCUCUCAACUCUUGGAACACGGUAAUGACAUCCAAAUUGCUUGUUAGGAGCAGCUUGUUAGAGUAUGCCAUCCCAAAAUCAUCUCCAGGACUGUUUGGGACAGUGUUAAUUGGUUUAUAAGCAAAAAUCUGCCAAGAACUGUGCUAAGUGUGGAUGCUUUUCUGUCCUUGCACAAACUCUGUUGCUUAUUUGUAUGUUCACAGCCUAAGUUCUACAGAAAACUGAUCUUUCAGCACAGUCAGAGAUCAAGAGUUUUGGUAAGUGCUCAUGGCACUUGCUCAAGUUUCAGCUCAUUACUUCUAACAGCUUUUCACUCAUUUUAGAAGGAAUAGUGAUAGAUUCAAAUCCUGAGAUUCAAAAUAAAAUAUGUCCUAGGUUUGAAACGUCUUCUUGUGUAAAAAAGAGUGAAUUCAUGUCCUGUAGCUGAAAGAUGAGUUGCUCUCCAAAGAUUACUAAGAAUGGAUAAAGAGAAGGUAAAACCUACAGAGGUCUAGCUUUACCUGAAACAUAGACUGAGUACACCCUCAGCAAAUUUGCUGAUGAUACAAAGCUGGGAGGAAUGGCUGAUACACUGGAAGGCUGUACUACCAUUCAACAAGACCUGGACAGACUGGAGAGUUGGACAGGGAGGAACCUGAUGAGGUUUAACAACAGCAAGUGUAGAGGGAAGCAAUAACAAUGUGCAUCAGUACAGGCUAGUGGAUGACCUGCUGGAGAGGAGUUCUGCAGUGACGACUUAGGGGUCCGGAUGGACAGCAUGUUGGCCAUAAGCCAGCAGUGUGUCCUGGUAGCCAAGAAGGCCUGUGGUACCUGGGGUGCAUUAAAAAGAUCAUGGCCAGCAGGUUGAGAGAGGUGGUCCUCUCCUCCUCCUCUGCCCUGGUGUGGAAGAGGACUACUGUAACCAGUUAUGGACUCCUCAGUUCAAAAAGACAGAGAUCUCCUAGAAGGAGUCCAGCGGAGGGUCACAAAGAUGAUAAAGAGCAUGAAGCAGCUCUCUUAUAAGGAAAGGCUGAGUAACCCGGGUCUGUUCAGCCUGGGAAAAAGAAAAAUGAGAGGGAAUCUGAUUAAUGUUUGUAAAUAUCUAAAGGGAAGUGAGAGGCAAAUGGAUGAUUCCAAGCUCUUCUUUGUGGUGUGUAGUGAUAGGACAAGAAGCGAUGACCUAAAACUUGAAGUUUUAGGAAGGAAGAUAGGAAGUUCCAAAAAAAAACAUGUGGAAGAACUUCUUUACAGAAAGGGUGUCAGAGAUCCAGAACAGGUUGCCCAGUUAGGUUGCGAAGACUCCUUCUAAGGAGGCAUUUAAGACCUGUCUGGAUGCCUUCCUUUGUGACCUAUUGCAGGCUACUUGCUUCAGCACAGAUGUUAGACUCAGUGAUUACGUGAGGUCCCUUCCAACCCCUGCAAUUCUGUGAUUCUCUGUCAUUCUGUGAUCUUUUGGGAUUUUUUAAAUUAUUUUUUUAAUAUUCUAAGCACUCUUAAAGGACUCUAAAAUCCAAGUCAGGCUUCUAAAUGUAGCUUGGCUUUCAUUGUACUUUGAACCUUAAACAAGAAGAGAAGCAAUAAAAAAGGGAAAAGAAUCUGUAUUCUGAGAUGGGUAUGCUGAAAAAGAGCUAAAGUAUUUCUGCACUUUGGUAAACUGUGCAGCACAGAUGCACCCUGUGCCAGAAAUAAAUAAUUCCCUGCUCACCCAUCACUUCAAGAAAGAAGCAACUUUUUCUUUGGUAAUACUUGCAUUCAUAUCGUCUUGCAAAGCUGAGCCAUGACAUGCUGAAGUGCCAAGGGAUGAAGAUUAGGCAGAGCCAUAGCCCUCACACUACUGAGGUAAGCAGGGUGCCAGGCACUGAAAGUUGCACAGUGCACAUCCCAUUCAGGAGAACAAGGCAGCUUCAAGGGCAGUUUUUAUUGCCUCCAAUUCAGGAAAGUCCUUCAGCAUAUGCUAAAUGUAUGACAUGUUUCUUUGUUAUGUUAUGUAUCACAUACUUAGUGAUUUUCUGAACUAUGUUCAGAAUAUACAAGACAGAAGAAAGAGUCUCCUGAGAAGAAAUGAUAAAGGCAUCAGGAUAGUAGAAAGAAGAUGAUUAUGCCAGCUUUUAUUUUAAAACACUGAGCUAUAAAUGUGAAGAAGAGCAAAAUGGAAAAGCAAUUCAAAAUAGUGGAGGAGGCAAGCAGCCAAAAUAUUUGUCUGAAAAUGUAGCUUCCUUGGUGCUCAUCAGAUAGAAUUUUCUGAUUGCAGCUUCAUCUGAAUUUUGUUUGACUUGAACAUUGUUUUGCUUUCACAGUCGAAAGCAGCCAAGGCCUGAUUAAUAUAGUACAUUUGUGACUGCCUUCUCUGGAAAAAAACAUACAACAGUUUAAUUUCUUUAGAAAUCAGAAAAAACAAAAAGAUCUGUAUCUAUUAUUUCUGAUGGACUGGGUGACUUGUCUUUCUUUCUUUCUUUUUUUUUUCCCAGAAAAAAAAGUGAAACAGAUGGUCCAAUGAAAUGGGUAAAAAAACCGUCUCUGGUCAGGACCAUUAAUAUUUAAAACAGUGACAGGUCUACCCAGAUGGUUUUCAAGAGAGAUUCUCCAAAAGAAAAUCUUCAAAGUCAUUGAACAGAUCUUGAUACAGUGUGUGGUUAGUAGUUAUAGAGGUAACGGUAAUCACAAAGGCAGUACUUAGCAAAGACUCUGCUAGUUCCAAAUCCAUGACACAGUCAAGUUUGAUGUCUCCUAAAGCUACUACUAGGACAGAUUGAGCAGUCCUGGCUUUUCUAGUGCUGGAUAAGUCAUUAUCCACAGCAAUUCUUCAUGAGUAGACAGAGACGGACUCUUCUCUGAGGAGCAUAACAAAAGGACCAUAGUCUUAGGUCACACAUUGAACUGAGUGAAAUUCCAGUGGAUAUAUAGGAAAAAAGAAGAGGAUAUAGUUUCUCUGUCUGACACGUUCAAGUUACUAACUCAGUUGGGCUUGAUGAUCCCUAUGGGUCCUUUCUGACUCAGGAUAUUCUAUGAUUUUAUGAUCAAAGAGACAGUACAUUGUCUGCCCUUUAAUAGUUUUCAAACUAGACAGGACAGUUACCUAUUCUUCUGACUUUGAAGUUUUCUGGUUUUGAGCUGCAGGCUGAACUUUCAGAGGUUCCUUGAAAUCUGGAUUAUACAAUUCUAAUUUUAACAUUUUAUAUGUUGAAAAAAAAAUCAAAUAUGCUUUAUUUAUGAUAGUAAUUUUCUGUUCUUCACUUCAAACAGAAAAAAAACCUAGUCUUGAUGUUUAAUAAUUCUGUGUCUCCAUAAUUUCUAUAAGUGAUAUUUAUAUAAAUGUAACUAGAUGAAACAAUCUUCAGUUAACAUUUUGGUUUCUCCAGAAUCUAUGUGAUAUUGUCCAUGGGAAGACAAACAUCAACACUGAUUUUUAAAUUGCCUAUGUUAAAAGGUAAAUUACACCCAAAAUGUUAGAAAAUUGUCCUGGACCUUAGAGAGACUCAAUAAUUUUGAUACUACAAACUAUGAAUAUCUUUUUCAGCUUGAGGCCUCAAACUUCAGGUUUCAGUAGACCCCAAAUUUAAGGGAAGAUUAAGAAAAAUUACAACAUUUAUUCUGUUUCUUAGGGAAAGCCACUAAUCCCACAGAGGUUUUCAUGGCUAGCCUGGUAUAACAGCAGUCACACUGAAAAAUUAUUUUAUGAAAUCAAUGAAUAUGUCAAAGAAGGCAAACAUGAAAGAAAAGGCUUCUGCUUCAACAAAUUCACAGUGUAAGUGUUAAGAUGAAAGAGAAUCACAUGCACAGGCAGAAAGCAGGCAGAGAGCAGAGAGCGGUUUCACAGCGAGGUAUUUCCGAACAGCUCCAUAAGCAAUUGCAUUUUAUUUAAAUAGGUAUCUCAGCUCAUUCCCCAUGCAGAAUGUGGAAGCUAAAAUUUAAAGGAGGCCCUGAAAGACAGGAGGAAAUGGCUCAGUGACAAAUGAGCAUGAAAGUAUGGCAAUUAUUGCAGGCACUGAUUGGCCACAUAAAUGAGGAGAUGCCUGUCAUUAGCACUGCCAGAGCACUGGACCCAUGCUGUGUCAUGCCAUGAGCAGGGGUUUCCAGACAGGUAAAACUUCUGGUUAAGUUUUGAGAAGGAAUCCAGUCCUUAAUCAUAACAGUCUUGGCAGUUUCUAUGGGCAGAUUAUAAUAUUUUCUGGUGUUUUGUUAACAUGUAAUCUAUUUCUGAAAUAGAAGUGAAUGAAUCUAUGAGCGGAAAAGCUGCAAAAAUAGUGUGUACAAAGGAGUGUCUGCAAUUAAAAUUAAAGUAGUUUAGAUUAACAGGGCAAGUAUGUGCAUAUCACCUUUUGUCAGUAUGCAGCCAUUAUCUGUAGCAACCCAAAAUGCAGAACUAGACAUGCAUUAGAACAGUUUGAUUUGUAGUGUUAGUAAACUACCAAUUAACUCCUGCUAAAAAUCUGACCCUCAUUAAUGUUUAAUACAGGAAUUGCCUGUGCUCACUGUUACAUUUAAAAGAUGACACAUACACUUCUUUCUUUCUGCUCUCAUUUCUUCAGAACAAGGUCAGCUUACCGUAAGGUUCAUAGCAAGCCAGCAUGGAAAGACAGUGUCAUCCAUCAUUUAGGUAUGUUUCCUCAUUAGCUACAUGAGUAUAGCUGCUGUUGGCUUUAUAGUUAUCCUUGAAAAUUUCAUCUGGUCUGUCCUGUUCUGCUCUCAUGAAUUUCAUUCUCAUUUGAGUCCUCACUGAAACGAGAAAUGUUUACUCUGCUAGAGAAUUUUAUUAUUUUAUGUUUAAUCAUAAUCCUUAAGUUCAGCAGAUGCCACUACAUUUAAACGAGCAUAAACACAGAAACAACAAAUGUGUUGGGAGGUAAUAUGGGCUGAGUGACUGGAUUGAAAACAUUUUCAGUAAGUCCUCCAGGUUUGUCUAGGUCAAGCUUCUCAGAAAGCUUUCUUGGUCUCCCUUAGUUGCUUUAAAAAUAAUAACAAUAAUAAAAGUAUUUCAAUUUUGCAUUUGAAAAAAAAAUAUAUUAUUAUUGUGGUGUUACCAUCAUCAUUAUCAUUAUUAUUAUUGUUAUUUUAUUUAGCAUUUUCUUUCAAUUUACUUUAAGAAAUCUCAUAUCACAUUCUCAUGUUCAAGGCAAACAUUUCAGUUCAGGUAAAGGAAAAUAUUGUUUUUUAAGUGUUUGACUCAAAAUAUUUUAAAUUGCUUUAUUUUAAAUUAAAUUUUCUUAGUUUUAAUUUUGCUUCUACUUUUCUUAACUGAAGAAAGAAGCUGGCAGCACAGCUUUAAUCUUAACAGGAUCUUUAGUAAUGAGGGCAGCUGCUCACUGGAAAAAUGGCUCUCAUUUAUUCACUAAUUUGAUCUUGGACACCUAAUUUGAUUGACAAAUGCAUCUAUUCAGGUUUUGCACUUGUGCUGACAUCCCAGUGCUGGCAGAACUUGAGUUACUUGAGAAAAUCAGACUGUUUCCACAAAUCAACAGGUGCAAACUUAUAAAUGUUGUUUGCACCAAGCAUUGCGGAAAUAAUCUUAAGAGAGUGACUAUGCAAGGAGUGAUGAUGGGUCUUUCAAAUAUGAAGCAAACAGCCAAAUAAGGGUUAGUUUGCCAUGAGUCAUUGGAAAGUGAACAUCUACCCAAAGCCAGUGACAGAGCAAGAAAAUUUUGCUACAGCAUCUCUGAUACUCAAACUUGAAAGUAUUAUUUCAUUUACUCUCUGAAUGAGCAAGGCAGGUUCCUUAAUGCUCAGGCUGUUUUUAUAAGUUAUAAUUGUGCUGAGCUACAGGAGUCAAUCUGGAAAAGCUGAUGGGGACUUAACUCUGACACUGUAUUUGUUUAGUUUGAGGGGUUUACUUCAUUCUAUUUUAUUUUUUUCAGCCUUAUUUUGGUCAUGUCACCUAAAUGCCCAUUUUUGGCCACAGUGUACUGGACAUACUUCUGGCAUACAUCCUCUACCUUGUCUUUAAACCAAGAGUAAUCCAGGAUGUCUGUUCUGAGUGUGCUCUGAAAUGUGUACCAAAAGAUGGGGGUGAAGAAAAGUAGGCCACUCACUUCUCCUCCAAAGCAUUAAUGUAAAUGUACCCUCAGCCAGGGAGACUUCUUUACAUUAUGUAUUUGUGACAUUUUCAUGCUCAAGUCACAGGAGUAUUCAGGCUCUGCAGACCCACCAGCUUUGGCUCUGAGCUUAACAGAUUGCCCAUGCCUACUGCACUGUUUUAAGCAUAUUCAGUCCUCUUACUGAGCAUCUAACUUAAGAACUAGGGUACCAUCUCAACUAAAUGAAGGAAGGUAAUUACAUCCUGAAUAUAAAUCAAGAUACUGAAGUAGACAAUGGCUAAACUAUUAAUGUAAGGGUAGUCAGAUGUCCCUCUGGAGGCACGUGUUUUUAUCAUUGCUUACUGAUGCACAUUAGAUACCCCGAAUUACUCAGCCCUCCCUCUCUGACCCCUUGCAAUAUUCCUUACGAUGUCCAAAAUCUAUGGAAUAGUAAUCCACGGAAUGCAAGAGCAUAAGGUGAUAUAUUAACUCUAAGUAUCUAAAUGUAAAACUCUAGCCACAAGUUCUAUUUCCUCCAGUAUUUCUUUUUCCAAAGUAAGUUCAAGGCAUCAAUCACAUUUUUUUUUUUCUUACCUCAGGUCUUCUUUGGGGCCCCUAUAAUCCCUACAGGAUUAUAUUUCACAGACCAUCUGCUGAGAGUCAAGAAAAACCUUUCUGCUUCCUUCACUCCAGCUUCCCCCUUGAAGGAUAACAGAGACACAGGUCACAGCUGAAAACUCCUACAAAAACCUUCCUGUUUUCUGCUGUUCUUCAGCUCACUCAGGCUAUUGCUGACUUUUAUGAGCUGGACUUCUUAAGCUGAUACUUGACUACGCAUUCACAGCACCCUAGCUGUAUUCUGAAACACAACUAGGUGACUAUACAAGCAGCAAAAGUAACACUUUUUUUUUUUUUUUUUUUCACUUUUGGAUAACAAUCUUUCCUCCUAGAAUUUGUAUUCUUUCAGCACAGAAUUUGAGUGAUUUUGGCGGAAAACUUACACAAACCUUAUGGAAAACAGAACUAGAAGUGGAGGAGCUGUUACCAAACAGUGUAACAAAUAAUAAAGCUUUUCUUGGUUUUAAUUAUUAUUACAACAAAUUUCUUUUCAUGCCUGAUCUAGAAACGAUCCAUAUCUCCUACUUGUUUCUUUCCUAUUCUGUAUUUCUGCUUCUCAUGAUUUUCAUGGGAAAUCUCUCAUCUGCUCACAAAAAAAGUCUGGCAGCAAGAAAUUUCUACCCUCACCGCUGCGAGAGUACUUAGUCUAUGAGCUUGAAAGACUUAGCCACUGAGAAGGAUGUAUGUAAUAGGGAAUGCCAGAGAUGAUAAAAACAUUUAAACCAGAAGAAGAGAUGAAACUGUGCAAGUCCCUGUUUGCAUAACAGUAUUAACUUUCUUAGGAAGUAGAGGAAGGAGAAAAACAAAAAAGAAAAAUGACAGACAUUACUCAGAUCAUGAGAGAUGUUGUCACACCAGAGCAUAAGACUGAACACUCUGUCCAGACCUACUGAGGUCCCAGAUAUACAGUGUUAUGUAUAUGGCUGUCUGGAUGAAAAAAAAAAAAAAAAAAAAAAAAUCUGAAAAAAUCUAAAGUUUUUUGCUGCUUUUUGGGAAUAAUAAUAAAAAUUCAUUGUUCUGAGUAGCAGAGGACCUCUUGUGACUGUAUGACCAUAGUCCAUAAAUGCAUGGAAAUAAGUGGCAAAUAUAGCCACAGAAGGAGUAAAUAUACUGUCAUAAAGCUUGAAGGCAGGUGUGUGUCUAAUUGUUUGUUUGACUUAUGCCUAGUGUGUUCCAUUUCUUACAAGAUAAAAAGAAAAAUGAAUGAAAAAUGCAGAAUAUAAGCUUUGAUAUGACCAAUAUCAAUGUUAAGCGUAUGUAAACUUUAUCCAAACAACGUGAAAAACAUUAUCAUUAUGCUAAGCACUUUGUAUCAGGCCCAUUAGGUGUCUUCUACUUAUUCAGAUUGCUAUCAAAGAAAUUAUUUAAUUUUAAAUCAUUUUGUUUAAGUAAUACUCAUUCUAAUUACCUUAGGCAACAAAAUAUAUUUCUACCUUUCUAAUAGCAAUUUCUUAAUUAGUGUAUUUUCAUUAAUUAAAAAAAAAAAUUAUAAGCAUGGUGACAUUAACUAUUCUAAGAAGUGCUUUGUCUGUGAAGAACAGUUUACCCAUUUUUCCCAUAUAAAGUACUAGGCACAAGACCAAGAGCUUUUUUUGUCUGCGCAUAGGAAAUCAAAGGGCUGCAGAAUCCGUUAGUCAGUUCCUUUUCUUAGGAUUUGCUAAUGCAACACUUUCUGCCUCUUUCAGAUGCCCCCAGCUAUGACUGAUCAAGGCCUGGUGCAGGCUAGAAAAACCUGGAGGCAGCUCUGAAUUAUAAAGGCGUAUGGUCCCAGAAGAAACUUUUUCUACUGGGAAAUAUCUUGUUUGCAAGUAGCCUAUAUCCUGUAUUGAAUUGUCACUUCUCAUUUUGUCCUAAUUGUGAGCAUGGUGGACAAUCUCAGUCAAUUCAGAAUUAAGCCAGGAAGAAAAAUUCAGACUUGAUUAUGAAUAUCACUCUCCAAGGUGAAUUGUUUUUUUGCACUAACCUCUAUGAAAAUAUACAGUAGCUUACACUAUGAAGCCUUAAGAGUUCGCAGUCCUGAUGCAUGUUCAUGAAUGUCUGUUUCUCCACAUAGGUCUUAUGAAGAAAAAGUCAAAGCAGAAAACCAGGUUCCCUUGUUAAGCAAAUAUUUUGUGUGUUGGAGUUAUGUUGUCAGCUUCAGUGCAUGAUAGAGGGAUGAUAUUUUAAACUUUCUAUUGAAACUGAAGUCUGAAGAGCAGAGAUGUUUGUUUUUCAUAAAAUGGCUUGUAGUAAGUUUAGCCACUUAUAGAAAGUUUAGGAAAAAACUAAAACAAAUGAUAACCUGGCUGUAUAACCAUGUCCUCCUCCCAGUAUGUAGAAGUUUCUUAGUAAAACACAGAGCAGGGGUAUUCUCAAACAGAACUGCUCUGGGUGGUCUAAUACAGUGACAUAGAAUAUUAUGCAAAACUCUCAGCAAAUUGGCAAUGUACAUUACCUACCUAUCUACCGACAGAGCUGCCUACAAAUAGUACAGCGGUGCUGAGAACCACAAUUGAGUUAAUUCAGGGAUUUCCAUCCCACAUUCCCCUGCAUAACAUAAACCUGUUCUCAGAGUCUAAUGCAAUAGUUAAGUACUGUUUAGAUCAAAAGGAGGAGGACAUUACUCAACCCCAUAAAUACAUACUCUCUGCUGUGCAGAAUAUGUCACUCUCAAAUCCGUUAUCUCAACAUCUUAGUUGUAAAUUGUGCACCAUUUCAAGCAAAUGGAUACUACCCAUGCUUGACAUGAUAGUUCCAUUGCAGAGAAUGACACUGCUAGGCACACACAGCAGGGUCUAUUAGAUCUGAUGCCAGACAGAUAUCAAUGCAGAUUUAUGCCAUCUGAGAAUCCAGCCUGUAAACCUUUAUGAAAUAAAAAUGAAAAGAGCUGAAAUCACAAAUGAUCAAGAUUCUGAUUUCAAUUAUGCUAUUAAUAAUCUUGUACAAUAUUAUUGCUCUUGAUUUCUCUGUCAUACAGGUUUAUACUCAGACAACUCUUCUAUUUUAAAUAGUCAGGCCAGGUCACUGACUUAGUUUCUCCAGAUUUACUCAAGUAUUUUUGGAAUAAGAAGUAAAAUAAAAUAAAAGUUUAUCUAAUUUUAUCAAACAGAUAUAUUCUGAUUCAUGAGUGCAUCAUAAAGGCCAUAAAAUGUUUUUGUUUUUGUUUUUUUCCCAAAUAAACUCAGCAUAGUUCCUUUUGUAUGCUGACAUUGUCUCACAGUCUGUGCAGCUGUGUGCUCAUGCAAGAAAAGUAUUGCUGCUGUUAGAUCAACAAGACUGUUUAGUAUGGGAUGCUGCGCAUAGGAAAAUAAAUGUUGUAUUUGAUAAAGCUUUAUCACCUCCAGGAAUAGCGUUAAGUACAUUUACAAAGUUUCUUGAUUACUGCAGUUACAUUCAAGGUGAUAAAAAUGUUUUGACUGAGUCAUUUCAGAGAGCUUUCUUAGCAAGUACUCAGCGGUGAGAAAAAUCCUCUGAAGCUUUUCUUGUAUUACAUGUCAACCAAUAGGUACAAAGUAUUAUAGAGAAAAGAUGGGAAGAAUAAAAUUGCUCAUGCAUUCAAUGCACAGGCAACUCUUGAUGCCCAAAAAUAGAUGAUGAUAACUGGGAUAAGAGGGAAACAGUGUGUUUCUUCCAGCUGUAACAUGGGGCUUGCUAAGACAGAAAAUGGAUUAUCACUUUUUAAAACGGAAAUGUAACUUCCAGAGAAAGAGAUCAUCUGCAAAGAUGCAAAGAUCGUCUCCCCACGACCAUUGGAAUAUAUAGACAACAAAAUUGAAUGAGGCCCAGAAAUUUCCAAAGCCAAAAGUGUAAUGAUCUCAAGUGAGGAGAUUCGGCUGCCUCCAUCACAGAAAAAAAAUAAUUUAUGUAACAUAAGGACAAUACAAAUUUGGCAGAGUUAUCCAAAAUCACAUCUGUACAGCAUGUAUCAUGUUUAGUGACAGAAAGAGCAAACUGCAAUGCAAUAUAUGAUAAAACAGUGAAAGCAUAGCAAAUCAGAUGACUGGUAAUGAGCAGAACAGGCUUGUUGGUUGUCAUCAUGUUCUCCUAUAAUUCAUAUGGACCUGUGGUGGCUGUGAUUAAAAAGAUCUUCAUUCAGCAACAGAUACUAAAAUAUUGUUUGUUUUUUAUGACUAAAACUAAAAUUGUUGUCUGUAUCCUAAUGAAUGUUAUCUUUUGUUCUAUCUAUUAGAACUUACUACCUUUAGGAUGCUUAUUUUUUAGAAUUACAGUCACAAAAUAUUUAAAUAUAAAUAUAAAUAUUUAAAUAUAAAUAUGAAAAAUACAAAAUAUUCAUAUUAUUUCAUAGAAGGCUAUUUUUGUGGAUUCAAAGAGAAAUUCCUAUUUUUCUUUGUGUUAUCCAGUGCAGCAUCUACAACAGAUAAUUAGUGUGGGCAAGACUUUUCUCCAACAGUUUCUCAUACAACUUCCUAGUUGUCUUAAUCUUGCACAUCUGUUUAAUCAGAGAUUAGUAAAUAAGGAAAUGGUGUGUGGGUGGAGAGGAACUUAAAAAAAAUUGCAAUAACAAUAAAUUAUAAACUACUAAUAAAUUUAUAUUUGUCCUUUUUCUCUUUGAAAUUACAGUUUGGAAGACUGUUUUCAUAUCGGAAUCUAAUGAACAUCUCCCUACACAACCCAUAACUUCCCAAUUUAAAGUAAGAGAGUAAAGCACUCUUUGCAUUUCUGGCUAUUGUACAUUUUAAGGAUCUAUCCAGCUGAGAGUCAAAACCAUUGACAUGACUAACAUUAGAGCUUUGCACUAUGGCGCUAUAAUUUUUUUUACUGAGUGCAAAUGUUUUGUGGGGGUUUUUCUUCAGAUACUUAUAGUAUAUUUUGAAAUGUGAAAACAACUACUUAUUUUAAACAUGGAACUAUAGUCUCGAUAUUGACCUUACUCUUCUUUUUCUAAGACACUGACCUCUUGUCCUAAAGGACAGCUUGAGUCACUCCAAACUGCAUGCUACAUACAUGUCAUUGUCAGAUUACAGUGAGAGUUCACCAGUCAGUGAUUCCACCUCUAACAGCAGUGAAGCUUAAACUUUGAGUUAAAGCUCCAGUGAAAUUAAUAUUCAAUCUUUAAAGAUAAAAGGGAGAUGGAUUCCUGGUUAUUUUGAAAUCAUUCUGGUCACCAGGCAGGCAAACCAAGCUGUAUUUUGGAACAGACAACAGAAACCUGGCACCCACAUAUUUUAAAGCAUAGACUUGCUGUGUACACAGGUGAUCUUCCUUCCCUCCCUUCUACAAAUGCCCGGACUCCUAGUGUCCCCAACCAGCUUACUAACAGGGCCAGACACACAAAAUAUACUGGCCCCAUUUUUCCCUCAAAAUAGCUAUGCUACAUUGAUAGAUAAAAUGAUUGCUCUUAAUGCCUGUGGUAUUUUGCCUGGAUGAAAGAUGCUGUAAGCCAUAAAGCCAAUUAUCUGUCAUUAUGUUCAGGUGUCUUUCAAUCAAUCAUGGCUUUUACAAAGCAAGAGUUCCUUGGUUUGCAAGAGAAUCUUUCCAAGCUCAUCUCUCUUUGAAGAACUAUCUGAAAAAAUAAAGACAAACAUGUAAACUUGUUCCCAAAUUUCAGUUCACUUUUUUUCACUUGAGCUAAGAGGACAUUCUCACUUACCCAGAUAAUAGUUACAAGUUACCCCAAGAAUUAUAGCAAAUAUAGGGUUAAUUGCGUUCCUCAUUCUUAUUUAAUGUAAACCAUGCCUUGGCAUUGUAAGCAGGGAAUGUGGGAGGGAAGGGAGUUACUCCUCUGAUGUGUAUGAAGAACAUAGAAAAGGGAAAUGCUCUAGGAGAUGAAAGAACAGGGCCUAGUGCAGCGCAUAGAGAAAACAUAGGGAAAAGAGGAAGCAGGUGGUGGGUUUUAGAUUUCAAUUGAAGUGCAGGACAAUUCACUGACCUGUGAGAAUGUUUUAGCACUUUUUAUGAGCCUGAGAAUUCUUGCAGUUUACAUUUGCUGUUCUUACACCUUGUGGGUAUGCAUAGUGAUCUGUGAAUUUUGCAGCCUUCGGUUUACAGAACAAACAGUUUAUGAUGGGUUUUAAGGUAGGGGAACUCUUGCUUAUGUAUUGCUUGUAUGGCCUUGUCAGUUUGAGUGGUUUCUGAAACAACUAAAGUGAAUGAUAUUAUACAAGUAGAAAAGUAAGGGAAAAGUGGUUGUUAGGUUUUUUGUUUUUUGUGUUUGUUUGUUUGUUUGGUCAUAUAUUCUGCUCUGCAACACAGUCCUCCCAUCAAAAUGAUUGAAGCCCAGUACUGCAGAGGAUCCAUCAGGACCUCCUGCAGAAGUUUUGUAUCUGCAGUGAAAGACGUGUUUGUAUGUUAGUUUAUACACAUGCAACUCAGGUUCCCAGCCCCACCAUUAUUUUCACCUUCAGAUUUCUGAUUGUUAUGCUUACUUCUUCUUCUGAAGUAUCUGUUGUACUUCUCUUAGUUUCAUCUGUCAGGUGUCCUGAGAGAAUAAAGUUACAAUCCUCAGCUAGGACAAGGGAAGGGUAUUAUGAUGAUGACAGUGGCAGAAAACUUGCUUGAAAAUACUUACUGUGCAAUGGAAAUAGCAUUAAAAUCUGAUAGAUUUUGCAUUGCAAAUACAAAAUACUAUUUUCUGAGUUUCCAUAAACAGUGUAAGUGAAGUUCAAAUGGCCUCAGUUGAAUGAAUUUAGCAAAUCUUUGCUGCUCAUCGCCAGCGUGUAAUCUUUUGAGAUACGUUUGUUUUAACAGUGCAACUCAUUUUUUAGAAAAAGUAAGUAAGUCAUAAUAAGCAUCCAGACUACAAAAGAGUGAUUUAACAUAGGGCUCAGCAUGAAAGCCCACCAACUGCAAAAGUAACUAGCAUGCAAAUCUUCAGCAGUUUAUAAUUUAGGUAGCAUCAAAGAGCAAUCUAGCUUGUUUAUGUAAAAAAUGAUUUCCAGAUUGUUUAAUAUGAAAUGACUGGAGCAUAUUGUGUGUAAUUUUAAUGUUUUGCACAAAGUAUUUUGCCAAUGUGAACUGUGGAGGGGGGGGGGGGGGGGGAAGGGGGGAAGGUGGAAAGUGAAUUGCUAUAUCUAAUAUUUAUAUUCUGCUCUUAAAAAAACAAACAAAUAAUAAUAACAAUUAAAAAAAAAAACCACCAACACCUACAACAUCACUGACUACAACUCUUCCAUUUUUGUUUUUCUUUUUUCACUUGGGAAUAUGGUGCUAUUUCUAGUCCUUCCUCCCUUUAGUAUUGUCCUAAAAAUAUUCUCUAAGAUUUUCUGCCUGAACUGAUUUUCUUUUAUUAUUGAAAAAGUCUCUUGCUCUUGCUAGAAAACUAAUGAAUAUGUAUGAUUUUACUAAUCCCUUAGAUAUGCCAGUUUAAACUGAUUCCUGUAUUUGCAGUCAGGAAAGAAGAAAGGGAUAUUUCCUUUGACAUGCUGGAAAAUACUUUAUGAGCAUCCUUUUUGAUGUUCCUUUUGGAAAUUUAUUUAUUUAUUUAUUUAUUGGCUUACUUUGCAAUGUUACAUGGGGAUUCACUGUGUUCCGUCAAUUUCCUGUAAUUUCCAAGAGGCCAUCGCAGCUAUCAGGAAGUGUUCUCCCUCAAAGCCAUGUGUGGGACAAUAUCCUGACGUUUGUCCAUAGGCAUCACUGGUGACAGUGUCCUGCUGUGCUGUGUCCUCCUGUGGUCUUGUUUACCAUUUUCCUGGCGUGUGUGCGCAUACACUGUUUGAAAUCUGUGGACACUGGUUGUGGAUUCAGCACCCAGAAAGCCGGUUGGAUCCAGACACCUUACUGAAGCUGCCCACAGGAGCAGUCUUGUAUCAUUCAACUGUACUCCUAAUUUCCUGCAUUUCCAGCAAAAUGAGAUCUACUAUAUCCAAGUCCUGUUACAUGCACAGUGCUUUUUUGUUUUUGAGGUCUUCUGAAACACUGAUGCUCUGGCGUUUGACUGCACAACUUUUACCACAGUGGACACUUUGAUCUGGAUGACUUUCCUCUGUACGGUGUCUACUUUUUGGAACUAAGUAGGAAUUUAAUCCUUUUGAACUUCUUACUUUUCUAUUAGGAUUUGUUGAAAUUACACAAGAGAUUUGGCAAAAGGGAACAAACUAAGAGACUGGUUUGGAGAAGUUGGAAUCACGUAUGCUUUCUUUCUUUUUUCUUUCGUUUUUCUUUUCUUUUUUUUUUUUCCAAAAAAAUAUGUUAAAAAUUCACAAUUUACUUCUUAUUUUUAAACAGUUUAUCAGAUUGUUUAAAUUUAAGGUGGUGAAGAUACUCCUCUAAAUGUUGGUUAGUAUAACUGAAGUCCAAAAUACACAGAAAUUGAGACAGCAUCAGAGUUAUUCUUGAUGAUUGAUUUAAAACUGCAAGCACCUUUUGUUUGGUCUUCACCAUCAGCAAAAAAAAUGUGUUUGAUUACAAAACAUUCAGAAUAAGUAAUUUUUUCAUUGUUGAAUGUAUCACUGAAUAUCUACUGUACAGCAAGAGACAAACUAUUUCUGAAGAGGAUGAUAAAAUGCAACGUGUCAUUGAAAAGAUCUGACAAGUACAGACAGCUGUCACCCUCAAAUAAACAGAAAGAUUAAUAUAUGAAAUUAUGAAUGGUGCUUUGUUUCAUUUCUAAGUAUAACAUCUUCAUUAUAUGAGACAACAAUUUGAAGCAACAAUGCAGCAAUUUACAUAGGAGAUUUUGUUCUUGUGAGAACUACUUGCAAAACCAUCUUCCAAGGCAGUGGAGAUGGGGCUCGUGAACAGUGACAAAAGCAGAAAAUGCCAUCUGUCAAUAUCGGUCAGACUAGCUUUAAAUUCUCGAGAAACAGAACAACAAAGGGGAUUCAGAUUUGAAUUUUGUGCCUCACAAUAUGCCAGGUGUUUUCAUCCAUCUAGUUAUGGUUUACUCAAAUAAAUUGAAUUUUUCUUCAUAUUUAGAAGUUUGAUAGGGGUACAAUUUUCCCAUCCAGCUUUUGCUCUGAAUCAACUGAGUUUUACCAUGAUGGAAAUUGUAACUCAUUCUUUUAAGAACUAUGGUUUUUUUUGUUUGUUUGUUUGUUUGUUUUUUAUCAUCUUGAGUGCACUAUCAUCUGCACUGAUCAGAUGGGCUCCUUACCAAUGCUAAGAUGAAUGUGUAUAGUUGGUUAUCCACAUCAUCACAGAAAUUUAUUGACAAUAAAACGCAUUAUUUCAUGUAUCUGUGAAUAUAGUUUAAUGCUGAAUUAUGAUCUGUUGUGAGAACAUUUUAUUUUCAUUCCCACUUUUGGUGUUUCAAGGAGUAAAAUUGAUCCUGGCCAAAAUGCUACCAGCAAAAUUUUUGUAAAAAAUACACUGUUGAACCAUAAAGGAGGGUUGGUGGUGUGGGCAGAGAGAAUCUCUCCAGUAAGUAUGGAAAAGGUUGCAUUAGAGCAAGGUGCAUUUAAGUUGCAGGGUGAACAUUAUAUAUUGAUGUUGAUCUUUUCAUCUCCCACAUUUGGUACUGUCUGCAAAGGGACUGUAACUGUUCUCUGAGCACUCUGACCCCCACAUCUUGAAUAGAAAAUCCAAUUUGCUGUUUAUGCCUGUGAGCAAGUCGGAUUCCCACCUCAUUCCACCUGUUCACAGGCAGAAGCACAGCUACAGUUUUUAACUUAAAUGAAUACUGGUGGGAGCUUGAGGUAUUCAAUUUGCUCUGUUGAAAACCUGGAAGCAGUUAAAAUACUGGAGAAAAGUAAAAAUAAAAGACAGAUUCUGUCUCAUUUGGAUUGCUCUUCAAGGAAACAGGAGCUACAAAAAGAUUAAAACUGUGAUUAUAAGGUAAGAGCAGUGAUGGAACAAUAAUUUUAGCAAAAGUCAGUAUCCUAUAGAUAACAGAAGACUUUUACCAGUAACUGUAACUUGAUAGGUCCAGAUGAAUAUGCCAAUACCACUCAACUUUAAGUUCUAGUGUGCUGGGAACAAACUGAAAAACAGAGGCAUCCCUGCUUGCUUGCUUGCAAAAACUAUGAAGACCUGUGAUAUAUGGUUCAAGAAAGAAAGGCAGAGUUAGUUAUUAUUUUCUGGGAGGUAAUGAAGAGGAGAAAAAUGAUGAGUAGCAGAUAGGGAAUAGAAGGAGAGGCUUUUUUGAAAGUAUUAACUUUAGGUUAGCCAUGGAGGAGGGAAGUGGGUUAAUCAGGGGAGAAGAAGCUGCAUCCCAAAUGUAUUAACUCAAGUAAAAAGCCUAGAAUAAAGAACUGAAGAAAAAAUUGCAAACGUUGUAAAAAGAGAGUCUGCUAUGUUGCUUAGCGUAUAAAACAUAGAAAAUCAUCUUUAAAAUACAUCCCAGGAUUAUCAUACAUAGCAGUGGUUUUUAGGCUUCUGCUGAUAAUUCCCACUUCUGGUUGUGAUCCUCAUUUCCACAGCUGAAUUUGACCCUCAAUUUCAGAAUAACUGACAGAGGCAUACUCACAUAUGCCUGAUGCAAAUCAUCAAAUAUUUGCAAGUGUUUCAGUUUACAGUUUGUCAGAUCUGAUCCAAGAUUUCAGCAGAUGUUAUCUAUUUAUUUAAUCAAAAGCAGAUUUUAUCUAACACUGGUGCAAAGCUUCAAAGAUUACAUAAGCUUUUUCUCUUCUCUCUGUAAAGUAAUACUGCUUUCACAGUGGAGCUCUAGAAGGCUGUUUCUGCUGAAGUCAGGGGCAAAACUCUUAUUGUCUGCUGUCUUGUUAUGUCAACUAACUCUUAUCAGAGAGUAAUACCAAACUAGACUCUUGCCCUGUCCUCAGAUGCGUUCAGUGGAGCAUGGUCUUGGUUAGCAAAAAGGUAGUUGUAAACUUUAAUAGCAAAAGCAAUAGGAAAUUACAUUAUUUAAAUGUUGAAGUUAUUUAGAAUUUCACCAUUCAUUUCAAUGAAACUGAAAUUCCUGCCUAACCCCUAAAAAAACAUUGUUAAUGCAGACAAACAGGAGACAGUGAAAAGAUAUCAAAAUGAUAAAAUUAUGACCUUGAUUUUCUUAAGCAUCUUUACAAGAAACCUUUCUUUUUCUCUCUCUCUCUCUCUCUCUCUUUUUUUUUUUUUUUCCUUUAUUUUUGUAUCUUCUUGGCACUUUUAUUAAUGUGAGCUAGUGUGAUUCAACUUAGGAUUUGUUUCAGGUGUGAAAGAAAAUAGCAAAAAGUGAGACAUUCAAUUUCAUAUUGCAGGGAAAUAAUACUUUACCUUCAUUCUUCCUGCCAGUUGGCCUAUAACUCAGGCAUUAAACAGUUCAACAGUGAAUAAUGAGAAAGACCAGGAAGAACUGAGUUUGAAUAAAAAUACCAUAGAGAAUAUUACAGGAUGACAGAUUAUUUUUAAAAGAUCUAUUUCCUUUGGUUUCUAAACAAAUUAUUCUGUGUCCAUAUGGAACCUAUAGAGGAACAGCAAAUUAUAAUACGUUUUUUUCUAAAUGAAAAGUAUCAAAUUAUUCUAACACAAUGAAUAAAUAAGAAUAAAGUGAACAGGAAGUGCUGAAGAAAAAAAAAAGAAUAUAUUUUCACUAUAGUCUUUGAAAUUAUAUAAAAGUAUUUAAGUUUAUCCCUGCUUCUGAUUCUUCUUUUGCUCAUAAGGUUCAUGUUGCCAAAGACAGCUGGGAUAGCAGAAGCACCAGUUACUGUUAUAUUCAUUAAUUAUGCAGAAUGUGUUAAAAACAUGGAAUUGAAGUAUUGUUUGAACUGGAAGGGACUCUAUGAGAUCAUCUAGUCCAAAUCCCCUGCAAUGAACAGGGACAUCCACAGCUAGAUCGGAGCACCAUCCAGCCUGACCUUGAACAUUUCUGGGGACGGGGAAUCCGCCACCUCUCUGAGCAAUCUUUUCUUCAAAAGUGCUUUACAACUCAUAUCAUAAAAAUCUUUCUUCCUUUUAUCCACUCUAAAUCUCCUCUCUUUUAGUUUGAAGCCAUUUUGCCUUGUGCUAUCGCAACACAGUCUGCUAAAGUGUCUGUCCCCUUCUUUCUCACAAUCCCCAAUUUAGAUACUGAAAUGCUGCCCUCAGGUCUCUCCAGAGCUUUCCCUUCUCCAGACUGAACAGCCCCAGCUCUCUCAGCCUGUCCUCAUAAGGAAGGUGUUCCAUCCCCCAGACCAUUUCUGUGGACCUCCCUGGACAUGCUUCAACAGUUCCAUGUUUCCCCUGUCUGAGGACUCCACAUAUGGACACAGUACUCUAUCUGAGGUCUUACCAGCUCAAAGUAGAUGGGCAGGAUCCCCUCCCUUAACCUGCUGGCCAUGAAUCUUGUGAUGCAGCCUAGGGUACAGUUGGCUUUACGUGCUGCAAGGGCACAUUGCUGGCUCAUGUUCAUCUUGCCACCUACCAGUAGCCCCAAGUCAAUUUUGACAGGGCUAUGCUCAAUCUUUUCAACAUCCAGCUUGUAGGAUUUGCCAUGAUCCAGCAGCCAGACCUUGCACUUGCGUUUGUUGAAUCUCAUGAGUUUCUCCUGGGUCCAAUUCUUGAUCCUGUCUUAAAUGUCUCUGAAUAGCAUCCUGUCCAGUCAGGCAUGUUGAGCACACCAUAUAACUCUCUGAGACUGCACUCAAUCCCCCUGUCUAUGCUCUUGAUGAAUAUGUUAAAGAGCACUGGUCCCAGUACUGACUCCCAAGGAACACCGUUCAUCACUGAUCUCCAUCUAGACAUUGAGCCAUCACUCUCUGGAUACAAUCUUGCAACCAGUUCCUCAUCCAUCAAGUGGUCCACCCAUCAAAUCCAUAUCUUUCAAAUCUGGAGAGAACGAUUUUAUGGGGGACCACAUCAAAGGCCUUACUGAGGACCUGAUAGAUGACAUCAGUCACUCUUCCCUUGUCCACUGACACAGUUACACCAUCAUAGAAGGCCAUUAGAUUGGUCAGGAAGGACGUGUCCUUGGUGAAACCAUACUGGCUGUCUAUUAUCACCUCAUUGUCUUCAAUGUGCCUUAGCAUUGCUUCCAGGAGGAUCUGCUCCAUGAUCUCCCCCAGCUCAGAGGUGAGGCUCACGGAUUGGUAGUUCCUUGAGUUGUGCUUUAUAUUCCUUAAAAAUAGGUGCAAUGUUAGCUUUUUCACAGAGAUGGAGACUGCACUGUCUACCUGGCAGCCCAUUCCAGUGCCUGACCAGCUUUUCCAUGAAGAAAUCCUUCCUGAUAUCUAAUUGAAACCUCCCAGAAUGAAACUUGAGGCCAUUGUCUUGUGUCCUAUCACUUGUCGACUGAAAAGAGACCAACAUCAAUCUCACUACAACCUCUUUUCAAGAGAGCAAUUAGGCUUCCUUUUCAUCAGAAGUUUUUCUACCACCUUAAUUUUGGGAGCAGAUAUUUGUGUAAAAAUAAUGUUGCAUAAGAACAGUUUGGAUUGAGUAGAUUUCACUUUGUCUUGUUCCGUGAACCAGAGAACAAUAUAGUUCUCUAAGCAUUAUAGUUUUGUUUAUAUGGCAUUGGGCUUUAAGCAGUAACUCUUAGAUCUGAAGUCACUCUGCAUUCUGUGCACUUUGUGAACUGGAUAACUUGAACUGACAAACCUGCUGCAGGUAAACAAGAGAAGAGUAUUGUUUCAUUACAUGUCUGUAAAUGUGUUGAUGCCAGCUUACAGGCCAGUACAGAAUUCACUUUGCCUGCAAAUACUAGGAAAUGUGAAUUCAGAGCUGAGCUUCUCUACCUAUUUUGGAAAUCUGGAGAGAUAUAGUCAUUGAUGUUUAAAGUAAAUUUAUUUGUCUUUUGCAAUUCAUUUAUACAUUAAGUGCAUGUUUUUAUAAAUGUGAGGAAAAAUGAAUGGUAAUUUCUCAGCAUUUGUUAGUGAUUUAUGUAUGUUCCCAGGACCCUCCUCAUCAUCUACCUGAUCAUUCUAGGAGGAGUGAGUAAAGUAAGGCCAGGCCCAGCAGCUUGAGCUGGACCAGUGUCAUGGCUUUGGCUAGAGCCAGCUUGGACUUUCUGUGGGCAGAACAGGCUGGUGGCCAUUCUGCUGAAUGAGUUUAUCUGCAUAUAAGUGACCCAUGCCAUGACAGCUGGCUUCAGGGCUGAAGAACAAACUUCGGUCCAGUAUAACUGCUAGAAAAAAUAGUGCUUUGGAUAUUCAGUUUUAUUUCUUAACCUGUAACUGGGCUAAAAGAACACACAGACAAAUGUUUACACUUCAAGAGGAUUUUGUAUCUUUUUAGUAGGAGAAGUGCACAGACAUAUACAAAAUAAAGAACACACUUAUAGGCAUUUCUUUAUCACAGUAUCCUCUCAGCAGCCACAGGACUUCUAGCCAAAGAACGCAUCCUUUCAAGAUUCCCCGACUCCUCUUUCCUAUAAAUGUUUUUCUUUCCACUGAAAAAUGUUCUUUCACUUCUCCUCUUAACUGCAGAUUAAUUUUCUAUGAUUUUGGCUGGUCCUACAUUUACAAAAGAUUAUUUUGCUAUGAAAACAUACAUUGAGCUUCCUGUCUCCCAUUUGAAGCUUACUGACCUAUUCUUUGAGUUUCUCAAAAUUAUAUGUACUAUCUGUGCAUGUAAAGUACCGUUAUAUGUACUUUUGUUCAAACUCUGGGGAUUUUCUACUCUCAAAUUCAUCUAUUUCAGCAUAUAUUUGGAAUUACUGGUUCUCUUCACCUAGUUCGAGGUACUCCUGUCAAAAUGAGAGGUUAGUAAGCUAAAUAUCAUUCGUACCUUAGAUAUAUAAUUAUAGAUAUAGAUAUAGACAAUAACAGUAACUGGCUUAUUAAAUGGUGAAGUAACUUCUUAUCAAAAACUAAAGUGCACGUAAUCUGUUAUUUCCCUGUAAAAGGAAGACAUUGACUCUUGUUAUAUUUAGUACAUUUAUGAAAAUCUCAAAUAAUCAGUGUAUUUCUCUGUGGAUGAAAAAUGAGUUCUUAUUUUUUAGAAUGAAAGGCUAAGAUUUUUCCACGUGUAAAGCCUAAAUGCAAUAUUUAUGACAGAUAAGAAUGGUUCAGAAUAUACUCACAGAAUUCCAAGUAUCGAUAUGGAUGUGAUGACUAGACACUGAAGCCUAGACAGCAAUUCAGAUGAACCAAUACUUGAAGGUGAGCUGAAUACCCUUUUGUCUCUACACUGGCUGCAUGUCCUUUGAUUAUUACUGAUGCUUUUACAUCUCACUCGUAUAGAAACCCAAGUUAUAAACAGUUUAAAAGUUUAUGGACAUGGGUUAUUCAUCUACACUCAGUUGUCUCAAACCGUUUGAGAUAGCAUGGCUUAUCUUGUUUGGCCAUUCAGGAGCAGUUCCAAAGGAAAGAGUUUUGUGCAGCACUUGUGUCACAUCUAUCAGCCCUGUACAAAUAUCCUCAGAGAUGGACUAUGACAAGUCAAAUCUCUGUAAAGCCCCUAUUUUUAGACAACCUAAGCAUGAUCAUUCCAGGUUUUGAGUCUGGAGAAAAAUUCUACCGCCUGUUUGGGAUGUCAUCAAGUGUCUUAAUUUCUUUGAACUCUGUUCUGAUUAAACAAUCAUUAGAUGGGACCAGAGUCACAUCUAUUUCCCAUUUCUCCUUCAAUAGAACAAAUUUAUAUUUUAUUGUGGACUUAUCUGGGUAACUAAUUAAUCUUUCCCAGAUUUGUCAAGAUCUUUGUAGAAAAGUAAGCAAAGCAAGACUGGUAUUACUCUUUGGGAGGAGCUGAUCAAGCAAGGUUUUUGUUCAUUGUUUUCCUGACCUGUCAGCUCUCAUUUAACUUUUCUCACCUUUUUGGUUAAAUAUGUAUAAAGUAAAGAUAAUGAGUCAGUUCUGCCCUCAUGUUGACCUGCUCAGCUCUCAAGGGCCAGUAGUAUCACAUCUUUCUCAUUCAAGGGAAGAAAGCACUUGAUAAAACCCAUCUGAUGCCUUGUUACUUCAGGAUUAAUCAUCUGAAAAGCCUCCUAAGAGAGAUAGCAUGGAAGUGAUGAAAGUGGCAACGAGUAUAACGAUAAAGUAGAGCAGAAUAUGACAUUUUACUUAGAAGAAAAAGAAACAAGGCAUUGUAGGACCAGCUCUACGUAUCUAUUUCCUAUAAAGAUAUUUACUUGCUCCAUCCACUGAGAAUUUAUAUUUAGUUAUUUGUACAGUGAAGAAUACCUUUAAUUCAAGAGCAGGAAAUGCUACAAUUUUGUAAAGCUAUGUUUAAUAUUUGAGAAUUAAUUUAGCUCUGGAAAGGUGUCAGAAAAAAAACAGGAGAAAAAAAAAAACAACUCAGAGAUUCAAUUGUAAUCUCUCAUUUCAAUAAUUCCUGCAGUUGUUUUUGCUUUGGUUCAAUUUUUAGCCACCAAAUUGGAAAUUGUCAAGACAGCUACUAAUGUUUUUUUCUCCAAAUCUGCAUGUACAAUGAAGGCAGAUCACUCAUCAGCAUCACCAGACCAGGCAAGGGUGGAAGUAAAAACCAGAGAGACAAAAUCUAAGUUCUUUUGAACUUCUCUAGCAAAUACUGUUGAAACAAUUAAUAUGACUGACACAAAUGUGCUAUGGCAAAAUGCCAUUCUCAGUGUGGGUCUAAGCUACAGUGCUGCAAUUGCACAAGAGAACUCUUAAACUGCCUGUCUGGUUUAGCACGAUGGAAAGCCAUACUCUCUAAUUCCCUAAUUAAAGAGUUUUUCUGUGUUUUCAUUGCCUUUUUAUUUUUUAUUUUUAUUUUUCUUUCUUUAUCUAUCACAACAUGUCUUACUGGUACUCGC
rnacentral:lncRNA from 1 species